UGGGGAAUAUUGCACAAUGGGGGAAACCCUGAUGCAGCAACGCCGCGUGAAGGAUGAAGGUUUUCGGAUUGUAAACUUCUUUAGUCAGGGACGAAUAAAUGACGGUACCUGAAGAAUAAGCCACGGCUAACUACGUGCCAGCAGCCGCGGUAAUACGUAGGUGGCGAGCGUUGUCCGGAAUUACUGGGUGUAAAGGGCGUGUAGGCGGGAAUGUAAGUCAGAUGUGAAAUCCCAGGGCUUAACCCUGGAGCUGCAUCUGAAACUAUGUUUCUUGAGUGCCGGAGAGGAAAGCGGAAUUCCUAGUGUAGCGGUGAAAUGCGUAGAUAUUAGGAGGAACACCAGUGGCGAAGGCGGCUUUCUGGACGGUAACUGACGCUGAGGCGCGAAAGCGUGGGGAGCAAACAGG
rnacentral:rRNA from 1 species